AAAACAUUAAAAUUAAUUGAAAGACAAAUAAAUAUAUACCGUAAAACCUCGAAUAGAAGCACUGGGCUUCCUUUUUAGGAUCCUUGAAUGGGCUUCUUUUUGCGAUGGGCUUCUUUUGAGAUUAUUUUGCAAACUAAAGAAGAAGGCUUCUUUUCAAAAUGAAUGCUGAAAAUUUUGGAAUUGCUACUAUAAUCUAUUUCAAAUAUUAAUUUUUUUUAAAUACUUUUAUCAUGCUAGUACAAUGAAAUAAUAUUGAUACUGACACGCUAUCAUAACAAACAAAGAUAACGUUAGUUGUAACAUAGAGGAAAUAGAACUAUCUCGAAAGAAGCCCAUUAUAUCCUGAUGGGCUUCUUUUCGAUAUUACCUUUGCAAACCAAAGAGGGGGGGGGGGCGGAUUUUGAGGCGGAAUUAAAUUACAAGUGAAAUUAUUAAGUGUCGUCUAAUUUGUAUUAUGUAUUAAAGUUUUUUUUUUCUUUGAAAGGACUCUACUCCUCCACUUAUUUUCCAGUCGUCUGACAGUAAACUAUUCUUCAGAAAUUGGGACAGUGGUUUGGAUCAUUAUUACUUUGAGUCCGUUACAAAUCCAGGUCACUAUUUGGCUUACAACCGCGUGAAUGAUGACGUCAAAUUACUCCAGUUAUCAGCUUCGAGUCUUCAAAACAAAACUGGAAACGCUCUCGAUGCCUUCUUCAGACAUGUUCCCCUCAACUAAUGGAUAAUCAGCAGAUAAUGGACUUUUCUCAUAAAACCCGCACCUUUAAUACUGUUGAUACAUACGAUUAUUCCUAUGUAUUUAAUGACACGUUCUGACAUUGACAUUUCAUAAAGAUCCAUUGUGACGGUGAAACUUUAUAAGAUUAAUUAAAAUGUAUUAAAAUAAAUCAAUGCUACAUUGCCUGUUUUGAUAAGCGUAACUAUAAAAAAAAAUACAUAUUGUAGGCCUAAUUUUUAAAAAUCUUAUUUAUGCAAAAAACAUUACUGAUGCUUAUGUAAUUAAAAAAGAAUAAAUGAUAACUUAUUACAUAAAUAUUACUACCUAUAGUAUACUAAGUAUUUAUUUAUAUUUGUGCAAUCUUGAGCUGUGGAAAAAUGUGAUCGAAGUUCCGCAUAAUAUACAACUUAUUUAUACAAAAUGUUUGCCUAUCUAUUUAUGAAACAUUACAAUACAGCUAUUUAUACUUCAUUGAUUAGUAAAUGUUAUUAUUAAUCUCUGCUGUGAAACUAUUUAAUAUUUAUACUGUAUAUUUAUAUUUAAUACUAUGCCUUGUUUAAUACUGAAUUUUACACGCGGUGAUUUAUUUAAUGUAGGCCCAUAUCAUGUUCAGGGUAUUUAUUAUUGUUAUUUAUAACAGCUCUUAUGCCAAGUUGUUUGAUAAGUACAAAAGAAACCAAAUAAACUUUAAAGUCAAUUUUAAACACAUAAUUACUAUAGUAAUUGUAAUAUUCUGCUUAUCAACUUAAAAAUAGUACAUAGUGUGUAAUUGUUCAAAGCAAUGCAAUUCUAAACUAUUAAUAAAUUGGCUAGAUGCAGUUUUA